AAAUACAGGACAGAGCAUAAAGUACUCUUUUAGACGAGGGGAGUAAAGUCUGAGGGGUAAGGGGUUUACUGUCGCGGCCAUCUUAGAUGACUCAGAUUUAGCGUCUAUUUUCACGUCGCACGGACGUGAAUCGAGUAAAAUAUGAGAGAUUCCGUGAAAUCAACAUCUAUCAUCUGAAAUCGCUGUGUCAGAGCGAAUCAUUUCUAAAUAUAUUCGUAAAAAAAUAACGCGUGUGAUUAAUAAUAACGCGAGUGAGUGUUGUUAAUAAUAAUGCCGGAUUGUUGGGCAAAAGGCUGUCAAAGCUGAAAUAAUAAUAGUCGGAAGAAUAAAACUCAACUGCAAUGGGAACAAUCUCAUGACAAAAAAAUUACAUUUUAUAAAAUAUCUAUGAACCCAGAAAAACGAAAAAAAUGGCUAGAAAGCAUGGGUUUAAAUGGGUAAAAAAAAACAGAAAUUAUUAAACACAACAAAUCAAGAAAAUAUUGACCCCAAGACAUGAAAAAAUACUUGACGCAGAACAAAAAAGAUAUACAGAAAGAUAUACUAAAGAUAUACUAUAGAAGAUAAUUUUGAUUUUUCUGGAACAGUGAUGGAUAGUACCAUUAGUAUUCCUAGCACUUCUAAAACGAUUGAUAUAGACCAAUCAAGGACACCACGCAAAGUUAAACAGGAUUGUUUCAUCGCGUUUUUUCGGAAAAUACACCAAGGAAACAAAUACUUAAAACUGCAUUGAUUAAUGUAAGAAAAUAUUUUAUCAAGAAGAUAAGAUCUUUGCAGCAAAAACAGAGAAGAUCCACGAAAUGUAUUGCAAAUUUGAAAAAUGUAUUGACAUCUUUGAAGAAGAAAACUUUUCUUGAUUCGCAACAGUUGGAUAUUGUAAAUAACAUAGACUUAUUUCUUUCAUCCAACAACACAACAAAAAGUAGUAGUAUUUCUGGAUCCUUGCCAUGCUCUUAAAUUAUUACGUAAUUAUCUUGGAAAUCAUAAAUCAAUAAUUGAUUACGAGGGUAAUAUUAUCCGAUGGGAAUAUUUGCUUAAUGGGAAUAUAAGCUUCAUGAAAUCAAAAUAAAUGAAGGAUUACAUUUAGCCAACAAGUUAAGAAUACAGCAUGUAAAUGAUCAAACACAAAAAAUGAAAGUAAAACUUGCAGCGCAAAUCUUCAGUGCCUCUGUAGCUGAUGCAAUAGAUUUUUGUAAAAAUGAUUUAUAAUAUUCCGAAUUUGCAAAUUCAACACCAACACGAUUCAUACGAUUAAUAAAUGAUCUUUUUGAUAUUUUUAAUUCAAUAAACAUGAAACAAAGAGGAUUUAAACAACCAUUGCAUAAAAAUAAUAGCUCCAUUAUUAUUAACAAAUUAAAUAAAGGUUAUAAUUAUCUUGCACAAUUGCGAAUAACAAAAAAUAAUUCAUUGUUA